rnacentral:rRNA from 1 species
UACGUAGGGUGCGAGCGUUAAUCGGAAUUACUGGGCGUAAAGCGUGCGCAGGCGGUACGUUAAGACAGGUGUGAAAUCCCCGGGCUUAACCUGGGAAUUGCGCUUGUGACUGGCGUGCUCGAGUGCGGCAGAGGGGGGUGGAAUUCCAGGUGUAGCAGUGAGAUGCGUAGAUAUCUGGAGGAACACCGAUGGCGAAGGCAGCCCCCUGGGCCGACACUGACGCUCAGGCACGAAAGCGUGGGGAGCAAACAGG